AAAUUGAAGAGUUUGAUCAUGGCUCAGAUUGAACGCUGGCGGCAGGCCUAACACAUGCAAGUCGAACGGUAACAGGAAGCAGCUUGCUGCUUCGCUGACGAGUGGCGGACGGGUGAGUAAUGUCUGGGAAACUGCCUGAUGGAGGGGGAUAACUACUGGAAACGGUAGCUAAUACCGCAUAACGUCGCAAGACCAAAGAGGGGGACCUUCGGGCCUCUUGCCAUCGGAUGUGCCCAGAUGGGAUUAGCUUGUUGGUGGGGUAACGGCUCACCAAGGCGACGAUCCCUAGCUGGUCUGAGAGGAUGACCAGCCACACUGGAACUGAGACACGGUCCAGACUCCUACGGGAGGCAGCAGUGGGGAAUAUUGCACAAUGGGCGCAAGCCUGA
rnacentral:rRNA from 2 species